rnacentral:rRNA from 1 species
GACGAACGCUGGCGGCGUGCUUAACACAUGCAAGUCGAACGGAAAGGCCCUGCUUUUGUGGGGUGCUCGAGUGGCGAACGGGUGAGUAACACGUGAGUAACCUGCCCUUGACUUUGGGAUAACUUCAGGAAACUGGGGCUAAUACCGGAUAGGAGCUCCUGCUGCAUGGUGGGGGUUGGAAAGUUUCGGCGGUUGGGGAUGGACCCGCGGCUUAUCAGCUUGUUGGUGGGGUAGUGGCUUACCAAGGCUUUGACGGGUAGCCGGCCUGAGAGGGUGACCGGCCACAUUGGGACUGAGAUACGGCCCAGACUCCUACGGGAGGCAGCAGUGGGGAAUAUUGCACAAUGGGCGGAAGCCUGAUGCAGCAACGCCGCGUGCGGGAUGACGGCCUUCGGGUUGUAAACCGCCUUCGCCUGUGACGAAGCGUGAGUGACGGUAAUGGGUAAAGAAGCACCAGCUAACUACGUG